GCCCUUUAUGUCCUGGGCUACACACGUGCUACAAUGGUUGGUACAGAGGGAAGCUAUAUAGUGAUAUAAUGCAAAACUCCAAAGCCAAUCCCAGUUCGGAUUGUAGGCUGCAACUCGCCUACAUGAAGUCGGAGUUGCUAGUAAUCGCGGAUCAGAAUGUCGCGGUGAAUGCGUUCCCGGGUCUUGUACACACCGCCCGUCACACCAUGGGAGUUGAUAAUACCCGAAGCCUGUGACCUAAUUGAGGAGCAGUCGAAGGUAGGAUUGAUGACCGGGGUGAAGUCGUAACAAGGUAGCCG
rnacentral:rRNA from 1 species